GAGAAGAAUGGUGACACCUUCAAGGUUAAUGGUCAGAGGUUGAAACCAUAUAAUCCCGGUGAAGGGGGACCAAUUGAAACUGUUAAACUCAUCUAAGUAUGAGGUGUCCCGUCGAGCCAUGCGACGUUAAACAAAGCGCUCCUUGGGAGGCAACCCAAGGGAGGUUUGAAAUUUCUUUGUGUAUUUUUCUUUUUGGUUUAUUCAGUUUUUAUUUUCUGUUGCCUUGAUGUAAUCACCUAUUAUGGGUUGUCUCAAUCUAAUGAACUUGAU
rnacentral:lncRNA from 1 species